AGGACGAACGCUGGCGGCGUGCUUAACACAUGCAAGUCGAGCGAGGCCCUUCCUUCGGGAAGGUGCCCUAGCGGCGAACGGGUGAGUAACACGUGGGCAACCUGCCCCUAGCACUGGGAUAACUCCGGGAAACCGGGGCUAAUACCGGAUAUGACCUUUGACGGCAUCGUUGAAGGUGUAAAGGAUUCUGGCUAGGGAUGGGCCCGCGGCCUAUCAGCUUGUUGGUGGGGUAACGGCCUACCAAGGCGACGAC
rnacentral:rRNA from 1 species